UGGCGGACGGGUGAGUAAUGUCUGGGAAACUGCCUGAUGGAGGGGAUAACUACUGGAAACGGUAGCUAAUACCGCAUAACGUCGCAAGACCAAAGAGGGGGACCUUCGGGCCUCUUGCCAUCGGAUGUGCCCAGAUGGGAUUAGCUGUGGUGGGGUAACGGCUCACCAAGGCGACGAUCCCUAGCUGGUCUGAGAGGAUGACCAGCCACACUGGAACUGAGACACGGUCCAGACUCCUACGGGAGGCAGCAUG
rnacentral:rRNA from 1 species